rnacentral:lncRNA from 1 species
UAAGCACGGUUUGAUUCGGGGUUAAGUAAAAAUUUAUUAUUUCGGAGAUAGAAUUAAGUUCAGAAUUAAGAUGGGAUUAGAGUAAUUUUGUGUUUGGUUAAGAAUUGAGUUUAGUCCAGAUAUAGAUAAAAUAGUGUUUGGUUGGAAUAGGUGGGAUUAAAAAAAUAGCGAAUAAAAUAGUGUUUUGUUUGGUUGGAGUAAUAAGGUGGAGGGGGGCCCCCAAAUUGGAUAUUUGGAAAUAACUUUAGGAUUAAGGGGUUAUUCCACUCCUUAAUCCCGAACCAAAUGGGUGCUAAACGUUUAUUAUUUGUUCAUCUAAUAUCUAGAAAAGUUAACAGUGUUAAA